AUGGGUGACAGGUGACGGGUGACAGGUGAUGGGUGACAGGUGACGGGUGAUGGGUGACAGGUGAUGGGUGACAGGUGAUGGGUGACAGGUGACGGGUGAUGGGUGACAGGUGACAGGUGACAGGUGAUGAGUGACGGGUGACAGGUGACGGGUGACACUGGGGACAGUGCCACUGAAUGAGGGACAUGGGGGGUGUGGGUGACAGCCAGGUGUCCCCAGGUGUGUCUCCUGUACCCCCAGGUGUGUUUUUGCUGUCCCCAGGUGUCCCCAGGUGUCCCCAGGUGUAUCUCAGGUGUGUCUCAGGUGUGUCUCAGGUGUGUUUUUGCUCUCCCAGGUGUCUCAGGUGUGUUUUUGCUGUCUCAGGUGUAUCUCAGGUGUAUCUCAGGUGUCCCAGGUGUGUUGUUGCUGUCCCCAGGUGUCCCCAGGUGUAUCUCAGGUGUAUCACAGGUGUAUCUCAGGUGUGUUUUUGGUGUCCCAGGUGUGUCUCAGGUGUGUUGUUGCUGUCUCAGGUGUAUCUCAGGUGUGUUUUUGGUGUCCCCAGGUGUCCCCAGGUGUAUCUCAGGUGUGUUUUUGCUGUCCCCAGGUGUCCCCAGGUGUGUCUCAGGUGUGUUUUUGCUGUCUCAGGUGUGUUUUUGGUGUCCCAGGUGUGUCCCAGGUGUCCCCAGGUGCCUGCGAUGGCGCGGGGGCAGCUCCAGUGCCGGAACCUCCAGGAUUUCCUGCGGGGGCUCAGCCCCAACACCCUGGAUCGGCUGUACGGACACCCGGCCACGUGCCUGGCCGUGUUCAGGUGAAAUUAACGCUAAUUAACGCUAAUUAACACUAAUUAACAACACUAAUUAACACCCGGCCACCUGUCUGGCUGUUUUCAGGUGAGAUUAACGCUAAUUAACGCUAAUUAACAACACUAAUUAACACCCGGCCACCUGUCUGGCUGUUUUCAGGUGAAAUUAACGCUAAUUAACGCUAAUUAAUGGUAAUUACUAACCCAAAUCGACACCCGGCCACGUGUCUGGCCGUGUUCAGGUGAAAUUAACGCUAAUUAACGCUAAUUAACGCUAAUUACUAACCCAAAUCGACACCCGGCCACCUGUCUGGCUGUCUUCAGGUGAGAUUAACGCUAAUUAACGCUAAUUAACGCUAAUUAACAACACUAAUGAACACCCGGCCACCUGUCUGGCUGUGUUCAGGUGAAAUUAACGCUAAUUAACGAUAAUUAACAACGCUAAUUAACCCCAAUCGACACCCGGCCACGUGUCUGGCUGUGUUCAGGUGAAAUUAACGCUAAUUAACGCUAAUUAACGGUAAUUAUUAACACUAAUGAACACCCGGCCACGUGUCUGGCUGUGUUCAGGUGAAAUUAACGCUAAUUAAUGCUAAUUAACACUAAUUAACACUAAUUACCAACCCCAAUCGACACCCGGCCACGUGCCUGGCCGUGUUCAGGUGAAAUUAACGCUAAUUAACGCUAAUUAACGGUAAUUAACAACACUAAUUAACACCCCACCACCUGUCUGGCUGUGUUCAGGUGAAAUUAACGCUAAUUAACGCUAAUUAACACUGAUUAUUAACACUAAUGAACACCCGGCCACCUGUCUGGCCGUCUUCAGGUGAAAUUAAUGCUAAUUAACAUUAAUUAACACUAAUUAUUAACUCCAAUCAACACCCCACCACCUGUCUGGCCAUUUUCAGGUGAAAUAAAUGCUAAUUAACGCUAAUUAACA
rnacentral:lncRNA from 1 species